rnacentral:rRNA from 1 species
UAUUUAAGUAUACAAAGAAUUAUUCUUUUUAAAGGUACUAGAUGGAUUACUUUGAAUAAAAUAGAGUGUUUAAGGCAAGGAAGAUAUUUCCUGUGAAUAUUAUUAGCAUGGGAUAAUGGCGAUAUGUCUAAUUUCGUUGGGGUAAAAAUGCGUGUUAAAUGGAUGGCGGACCUUUUAAUUGGUUUUUAAGGGUUCGGAUGAAUAACAAUACUUGUAUUGUUGUUAUCAGUUUAGAUCAAUUCCAUUACAAAAAAUAACCCUGACAUUUUUUAUUUUUUUAGACAUGGAAUAGAAACAAAUGGGGUGGUUUAUAUUUCAUAGCGAGGGGUAAAAUCCUGUGACCUGUGAAAGAUAGACAAGAGCGAAAGCAUUCCACAAAAAUGUUUUCAUGUGAUCAAGAACGAAAGUUGGGGGAUCGAAGACGAUCAGAUACCGUCGUAGUCUCAACUAUAAACUAUGCCGACCAGGGAUUGGAAAAGAAAAAGCACGGUUAUCCGUGUUUAUUUCGAAUUAUUUAAAACGACAAUUGGCGUUUUAAAAUAGACUUCUCCAGCACCUAAGAGAGAAAUCGAGUGAGUGUAUGGGCUUCGGGGGGAGUAUGGUCGCAAGGCUGAAACUUAAAGGAAUUGACGGGAGGGCACACCAGGAGUGGAGCCUGCGGCUUAAUUUGACUCAACACGGGGAAACUUACCAGGGCCAGAUAGCAGGAGGAUUGACAGCAAAAAACUUUUAUUGAGAGCUCUUUCUUGAUUUGUUAGGUGGUGGUGCAUGGUCGUUCUUAGUUGGUGGUGUGAAUUGUCUGGUUAAUUCCGAUAACGAACGAGACCUUAACUUAUUAACUACGGGAAACCGGUUUUUCUCACGAAAUCCGGUUAUUCCUUCUUAAAAGGACUAUUUAUGUUUUCUUAACUAAUAGAUGGAAGUUUGAGGCAAUAACAGGUCUGUGAUGCCCUUCGAUGCUCUGGGCCGCACGCGCGCUACAAUGAUGAACGCAACGAGUAAUUACACGCAUUUCGCGUGUUAUUCCUUUUUCGAAAGAAAUGGGGAAUCUUUUGAAUGUUCAUCAAGCUGGGGAUAGACCAUUGGAAUUGUUGGUCUUGAACGAGGAAUUCCUAGUAAGCGCAAGUCAUCAGCUUGCGUUGAUUACGUCCCUGCCCUUUGUACACACCGCCCGUCGCUCCUACCGAUUGGAUGAUCCGGUGAAAAUGAUGGAUAGAAAGGACACUCUGUUUUUUUUAGAAAACAUUUGAACCUUAUUAUCUAGAGGAAGGAGAAGUCGUAACAAGGUAUCCGUAGGUGAACCUGCGGAUGG